ACCGGCGCACGGGUGAGUAACACGUAUCCAACCUGCCGUCUACUCUUGGACAGCCUUCUGAAAGGAAGAUUAAUACAAGAUGGCAUCAUGAGUCCGCAUGUUCACAUGAUUAAAGGUAUUCCGGUAGACGAUGGGGAUGCGUUCCAUUAGAUAGUAGGCGGGGUAACGGGCCCACCUAGUCUUCGAUGGAUAGGGGUUCUGAGAGGAAGGUCCCCCACAUUGGAACUGAGACACGGUCCAAACUCCUACGGGAGGCAGCAUG
rnacentral:rRNA from 1 species